AUUGAACGCUGGCGGCAGGCCUAACACAUGCAAGUCGAGCGAGCGGCUGACGGGUGAGUAAUGUAUGGGGACUGCCCGAUAGAGGGGGAUAACUACUGGAACCGGUGGCUCAUACCGCAUACUAUCGGAUAACCCAUAUGUGAUUAUCUAGUAGGUGGGGUAAAGGCUCACCUGGGCGACGAUCUCUAGCUGGUCUCAGAGUAUGAUUAGCGACACGGGGACUGAGACACGGCCCAGACUCCUACGGAGGCCGCAGUGGGGAAUAUUGCACAAUGGGCGCAAGCCUGAUGCAGCCAUGCCGCGUGGAUUAAGAAGGCCUUAGGGUUGUAAAGUACUUUCAGCGGGGAGGCGUUACCCGCAGAAGAAGCACCGGCUAACUCCGUGCCAGCAGCCGCGGUAAUAC
rnacentral:rRNA from 1 species